CGGUUGAUCCUGCCGGACCCUACUGCUAUCGGGGUGGGACUAAGACAUGCGAGUUGAGCGUCUCUAAGCUAUGGUAGAGACGCAGCGUACGGCUCAGUAACACGUGGCUAACCUACCCUUAGGACGGGGACAACCCCGGGAAACUGGGGCUAAUACCCGAUAGGCGAGGAGGCCUGGAAUGGUUCCUAGUCGAAAAGGCGUUGAAACCAUGCUUUUCGACGUCGCCUAAGGAUGGGGCCGCGCCCGAUCAGGUUGUUGGUGGGGUAACGGCUCACCAAGCCUAUAACCGGUACGGGCCGUGAGAGCGGGAGCCCGGAGAUGGGCACUGAGAUAAGGGCCCAGGCCCUACGGGGCGCAGCAGUCGCGAAAACUCCGCAAUGCGCGAAAGCGUGACGGGGCUACCCCGAGUGCCGUCCGCUGAGGAUGGCUUUUCCCCGGUGUAAUGAGCCGGGGGAAUAAGGAGAGGGCAAGUCUGGUGUCAGCCGCCGCGGUAAUACCAGCUCUCCGAGUGGUAGGGAUGAUUAUUGGGCUUAAAGCGUCCGUAGCCGGCUUAGCAAGUCUCCUGUUAAAUUCAGCGACCUAAUCGUUGAGCCGCGGGAGAUACUACUAGGCUAGGAGGCGGGAGAGGCCGACGGUAUUCUCGGGGUAGGGGUGAAAUCCUAUAAUCCCGGGAGGACCACCAGUGGCGAAGGCUGUCGGCUAGAACGCGCUCGACGGUGAGGGACGAAAGCUGGGGGAGCGAACCGGAUUAGAUACCCGGGUAGUCCCAGCUGUAAACGAUGCGGGCUAGGUGUUGGGGUGGCUACGAGCCACUUCAGUGCCGCAGGGAAGCCAUUAAGCCCGCCGCCUGGGGAGUACGGCCGCAAGGCUGAAACUUAAAGGAAUUGGCGGGGGAGCAC
rnacentral:rRNA from 1 species